UUGCUGUUUUAUUCCAAUGUUGCUCGUUAACUGUCUAAUUCUGAUAUUGUGAAUGGUAGACCAAAUUGAUUGCUUUUGUUGUCUGAAUACACUGACAUCAAAGAGCUUCCUCCUCAUCGACUAGCUGUGAUUCGUCGCUUUUUUGAAGACUACAAGAAGAAUGAGAACAAAGAGGUUGCAGUUAAUGAUUUUUUGCCUUCAGCUACAGCUCAUGAAGCUAUCCAGCACUCCAUGGUUUGAAAAGGAAAUGUUUACAAGGACGA